CCUUACCACCUUGAGCACACCUGAUUUAGUCUGAUUUUGGAAGCUAAGCAGCAUCAAGGUCUAGUUAGUACAUGGGUGGGAUAACACCAGGGAUACCAGACAUCACCAGGU
rnacentral:rRNA from 1 species